UACGAAGGGGGCUAGCGUUGCUCGGAAUUACUGGGCGUAAAGGGCGCGUAGGCGGAUACUUAAGUCGGGGGGGAAAGCCCGGGGCUCAACCUCGGAAUUGCCUUCGAUACUGGGUAUCUUGAGUUCGGGAGAGGUGAGUGGAAUGCCGAGUGUAGAGGUGAAAUUCGUAGAUAUUCGGCGGAACACCAGUGGCGAAGGCGACUCACUGGCCCGAUACUGACGCUGAUGCGCGAAAGCGUGGGGAGCAAACAGG
rnacentral:rRNA from 1 species